rnacentral:rRNA from 1 species
AUUGAACGCUGGCGGCAGGCUUAACACAUGCAAGUCGAGCGGGGUGAUGGUGCUUGCACUAUCACUUAGCGGCGGACGGGUGAGUAAUGCUUAGGAAUCUGCCUAUUAGUGGGGGACAACAUCUCGAAAGGGAUGCUAAUACCGCAUACGUCCUACGGGAGAAAGCAGGGGAUCACUUGUGACCUUGCGCUAAUAGAUGAGCCUAAGUCGGAUUAGCAAGUUGGUGGGGUAAAGGCCUAACAAGGCGACGAUCUGUAGCGGGUCUGAGAGGAUAAUCCGCCACACUGGGACUGAGACACGGCCCAGACUCCUACGGGAGGCAGCAGUGGGGAAUAUUGGACAAUGGGGGGAACCCUGAUCCAGCCAUGCCGCGUGUGUGAAGAAGGCCUUAUGGUUGUAAAGCACUUUAAGCGAGGAGGAGGCUCUUUUGGUUAAUACCCAAGAUGAGUGGACGUUACUCGCAGAAUAAGCACCGGCUAACUCUGUGCCAGCCGCCGCCGUAA